rnacentral:piRNA from 1 species
UGCUUAAUAAUAGUUGAGAAUGUCCCUAGU